rnacentral:rRNA from 1 species
UACGUAGGGUGCGAGCGUUGUCCGGAAUUAUUGGGCGUAAAGAGCUCGUAGGCGGUUUGUCGCGUCUGCUGUGAAAACUGGGGGCUCAACCCCCAGCCUGCAGUGGGUACGGGCAGACUAGAGUGCGGUAGGGGAGAUUGGAAUUCCUGGUGUAGCGGUGGAAUGCGCAGAUAUCAGGAGGAACACCGAUGGCGAAGGCAGGUCUCUGGGCCACUACUGACGCUGAGAAGCGAAAGCAUGGGGAGCGAACAGG